rnacentral:lncRNA from 1 species
UUUUUUGAUUAGUAGUUGUAUUUUUUAAAUAUAAUUUUCAAAAAUUCUAUUUUAGGAAAGUUUUCAUUUUUUCAUAGAAAUAUUGUAGAUUUGGGGUUGUAAUUUAGAAAUUAGGAUAACAAUAAUCUUUGUUGAUAGAUGAGUAUUCUUUUAAUUUUUUUUAUCAAUAGUUGUAUUUUUUAAAUAUAAUUUUCAAAAUUUCUAUUUUAAGAAAGUUUUCAUUUUUUCAUAGGAAUAUUUUAGAUUUGGGGUUGUGGUUUAGAAAUUAGGAUAACAAUAAUUUUUGUUGAUAGAUGAGUAUUCUUUUAAAUUUUUUGGAUCAAUAGUUGUAUUUUUUAAAUAUAAUUUUCAAAAAUUCCAUUUUAGGAAAGUUUUCAUUUUUUCAUAGAAAUAUUGUAGAUUUGGGGUUGUGAUUUAGAAAUUAGGAUAACAAUAAUUUUUGUUGAUAGAUGAGUAUUAUUUCAGAUUUUUUUGAUCAAUAGUUGUAUUUUUUAAAUAUAAUUUUCAAAAUAUCUAUUAUAGGAAAGUUUUCAUUUUUUCAUUGAAAUAUUGAAGAUUUGGGGUUGUGGUUUAGAAAUUAGGAUAAAAAUAAUUUUUGUUGAUAGAUGAGUAUUCUUUUAAAUUUUUUUGAUCAAUAGUUGUAUUUUUUAAAUAUAAUUUUCAAAAAUUCUAUUUUAGGAAAGUUUUCAUUUUUUCAUAGAAAUAUUGUAGAUUUGGGGUUGUGAUUUAGAAAUUAGGAUAACAAUAAUUUUUGUUGAUAGAUGAGUAUUAUUUCAGAUUUUUUUGAUCAAUAGUUGUAUUUUUUAAAUAUAAUUUUCAAAAAUUCUAUUUUAGGAAAGUUUUCAUUUUUUCAUUGAAAUAUUGUAGAUUUGGGGUUGUGGUUUAGAAAUUAGGAUAACAAUAAUUUUUGUUGAUAGAUGAGUAUUAUUUAAAUUUUUUUGAUCAAUAGUUGUAUUUUUUAAAUAUAAUUUUCAAAAAUUCUAUUUUAGGAAAGUUUUCAUUUUUCCAUAGAAAUAAUGUAGAUUUGAGGUUGUGAUUUAGAAAUUAUGAUAACAAUAAUUUUUGUUGAUAUAUGAGUAUUCUUUACAUUUUUUUAUCAGUAUUUGUAUUUUUUAAAUAUAAUUUUCAAAAAUUCUAUUUUACGAAAGUUUUCAUUUUUUUUCAUAGAAAUAUUGUAGAUUUGGGGUUGUAAUCUAGAAAUUAGGAUAACAAUAAUCUUUGUUGAUAGAUGAGUAUUCUUUUAAAUUUUUUUGAUCAAUAGUUGUAUUUUUUAAAUAUAAUUUUCAAAAAUUCUAUUUUAGGAAAGUUUUCAUUUUUUCAUAGAAAUAUUGUAGAUUUGGGGUUGUGGUUUAGAAAUUAGGAUAACAAUAAUUUUUGUUGAU